rnacentral:lncRNA from 1 species
AUUACUCAUCACUAAUGCUAAAUGAAGGCAUAUAAAAAAUUCUAACUCAAAAAGUGGCCAAUUUGUUACAAAACUAUGUUAGGUCUUCAAAUUUUGUGUUAAACAAUAAGUUUGGGUACGUAUUGAUUUGUCAUAUUUUUUGAAGUUCAUGCAGAUUUGGUAUUCUGCUGUUUCGUCACCAGACAUUUGGAGAAAUGUUAAGAUACGAACGACGCAGUUAGAGAAGUUGGAUUUAAAGGUUUUUGAUGUAAUUUUGGUUUAUCUGAAAUAUUUAUUGUCGUUUUUAUUUUUUUGAUCAAUUGUACUCGGUUUGCUAAAUAAACAAAGCCAAAUAGUCAUGCUAAAAAUAAAAUAAAAAACUGUGUUUUCCGGUAGGAAUGAAGUAUAAACCUAGAAUCAGGUAAUGUGCGUAUCCUAACUAGAUUGGCAUACAACUAUUUAUCUCAUUCUAAACGAAAAAUGGUGAUUUAAAAAGUUCACGCUCGGUUCCAGCCUUCCAGGUAACUUAAUUGAAACUCAUUCCCUGCUGCUCGUGGUCCAUAUAAAUUGGAUAAACCCCAUAAAACCCUAACUCUAACAGAAAAAAAGAAAGAAAAAGAGCUAGAUCCCAAUCCAUGGGCGCGCAACCCAGAAGCACUGGUCGAUGGACAACCCAUGCGCGUUACAAAGCACUGAAGCUGAACGGGUCGAUGGCCCAGGGCGAUUUCUUCAGGCGCAGGGACUCGUCGGCCCAGAAGGACAACCCAAAUCCCAGGCCCACAAGCCGUCGUUUACCCAAGUGAUUUCAGAACCCGGCCCAGAUCCAAGUAGAGGCAGAUCAGAACUUGGGCCAGGAAUACUUGCUGCUUUAGCUAUUCCCAGACAGAUUCUACCAUACCAGACAGGCCCAGGAUUGCUGUUCGCAGCUCGCCUGCAUAAAUCGAAGGCGCCAAGCCCCGCUCAAAAAAUAAAUAAAUCGAAGGCGCCAAGCCAAUCAGCAACAACGCUUG